rnacentral:lncRNA from 1 species
CUUUCUCAUAUUAACCAUUGAAGACAAUUUUCAUAAUGUUACUUUGCCUUAAUUUUGCAGGCUGAGAGAACUGACUACACUGAAAGCCCAUGUCGAAUCCGUAGUAAAACUGAAGAAUCUCGACAUAGAAACAAUUCAGCAGUCGUACACGGUUUGAGUCCGAUUAUGGCGAAAUUUAGACGACCUUACGCCCCGGUGGUGGUGUAUGUUGAUUUGGCUUACAGUCAUCAGAUUGCUGUUUCUUCUUCUUUUCUGUGUCCAUAUUUGUCUGGUUUUUUGGGUUUAGGUUAGAAAGCUAGAUUUGGGAAUUGAAUUUUAAGUAUCAUCUUAGUGCUUCCAGUGAUUAUCUAAUGGCAGAGUUUGAUCUUACUGCUGCAAAAAUUUGUAAAAAAAUUGUUAUGUCAAGCACUUGUUUAUUUUAUAAUAUAUAAUUUUUUGCAAUUAGUAAUUAUGCUA